rfam:Culex pipiens quinquefasciatus supercont3.499 genomic scaffold, whole genome shotgun sequence.
GGCUCCGUGGCUUAAUGGUUACGGCUUCUGUCUUCCAAGCAGAAGGUUCAGGGAUCAAAUCCCGGUCGGUACCU